GGGGAUGUAGCUCAGAUGGUAGAGCGCUCGCUUAGCAUGUGGGAGGUACAAGGAUUGAUACCUUGCAUCUCAA
rfam:Ipomoea nil DNA, scaffold: scaffold3227, cultivar: Tokyo-kokei standard.